rnacentral:lncRNA from 1 species
ACCAACCCAUCGCUGGCUCCUAGGACUGCAGCUCGUAUCGAUUGUGCCCUUUCUGAGUAGUCAAUCUCCGUUUGUCCUUCCAGUUCUUGGUUCCUUUGUUGCUCCAUACCGUUGACAUCAGGGAAGGUGAAUCGGGGAUCAAGAAGAGAUGUGUUGUUAGAAGCCAUUGGAUUUGCUAAUUGAUGAUAGUUUGUAGAAGAAAGAAGAGACCGGAGAGCAGAAGAGAUAGAGGUAUCAGGUAUGUGCUAAACUCACUCUUUCAAGUGCGCUAUUUAUAAGGCAAAAAAUUAUGUUGAACCUUUGGUAAAUGUGGUGAGAGCACUCACAAAGAAGAUUUUAUUGUUUACCAAUUAAAGUAGAACUUACUUUAAUUGGUAAAAAUAUAUUUCAUGAUAAAUUUCAGUUGAAAUAUCUCAAUCUUGGUUGUGUUUGAUUGGGGAGAAAAGAUUUGUAAAAAAUUGCUACCUAAAUUCUUGCGAGUAAAACUGAAACAAGAAACUUUUAUCCCAACUAUAAAUUAUCUUAAUUACUUAGUAAUUGAUUCCCAAUAAACAAAGUUGUGCCUAAGAAAACACACUGCCAUUUACUUCUAUAGCUAGAAUGGUAGUAUCUUCAAGAUAGUUCCAUUAAUGAAAAUUAGAAACUUUGAUUUGCUUGAUAAUUAGGAACGGCCACAAUCCGGAGAGUGUUUAGCAAAACUAUGCACAUUUAAGAUUUACUAUUAGUAGCCAAGUCAUACAUGCAAAGCAUCGGUAACUUUAACCACAGUGAAUGGAGAGAGGAGAUCAACUUCUAGGAAGUUACAGGAGUCGGCAACGAUGUGUGAUAUUGUACACGACAAAGCAAACUAAGCAUGCAUUCCGUGUUCUUUUCCGGUGUUCUUUUGGCCAUGUGCGAAACGAUCUUCUUUUGGAUGAUUCCUUUAUCGUUCAACCAUAUCUCAAAACCAUGGCUGUUCCUCUCUGGUAUUUACUUACUCCUUCAGCCAUAUUUGAAAACCAUGUCUGUUCUUUCUGAGUUUUCUUCAUCCUUUCAGCUAUGUUCGAAAAUGGUGCAAUAUACGUGUCAUACGAAUUCCAUCCAGUUCGUCUGCCAUGGCUAAGUAGGAAUCUUUUACAUCAAAUAACUCUUGCUUUCUCUACUCAUUCCAAAUCCUAAUUUACUUUUAUUGAUGAAAGAUUUUUCAUUAAAAGGAACAUUAGUGCUUAUCCUUGGAGGAAUGGAAGCCAGGAACAGGUGAAAGUAAUAAUAAAUGCCUAAAAUAGCUAGUUUUAGAAAUUGCUUGUGUUUUGUUUCGUUUUCCUUUUUAUUUCUUAAAGUAGCUUAAUACAGAUUUUGAAAAUUAGUUAGUUGCAUGUUUUGGAAUUUUUGAUUUGUAUUAAUACGAAUAAAGUUAUCAAACAAUUGGUAGAAAAGAUUGUUGUCUUUAGGCUGUGAAACCUACAGUUUCAAGUCAUACUCACUCUGUCCAACUUUAGAACCAAUGACCUUUGAUUCGUAACAUAUUCAUGGCAAAUUCGUGCAAUAAUUAGUUAUUUACUGUUUUAGAAAUUCUCUAAGACAUGACAGCUAUAGUUUGCAAGAUUUUUAUAGGACAUGGUAUGCCUAUGUGUUGGAGAUAUGUUGUUAAACAGGAUUUACAAACCUAAAAGGUAGUCGCAAAACUCCAUCCUACCUGCGAACAUAAAACAAAUGUUUUAAAGUCAUGAUCUUACUGUAGAUUAAUCCUUUUAUUUUGCAGAUAAUCCUUCAGUUAAUUUACUCCACAUAAUUCUAAGUUGAAUGAUGUAAUGCAUACCUGCAAUAUCUUGUAUUGGAAGCUGUUUGAAAUAUUUUUUUGAUUUGCGAAAUGGCUAAUAACAGUUACUUAAAUCCCUUACUUGCAUGUUUGAGAUUUGAACAAGAGGAACUAAAAAUUGUAUAACAAAUAUUAUGCCUUAGUAUAUCAAACAUAGUCUAUGCACCAAGUAAACUUGACCCAUGUAUGUGUAGCACCUGCUUCAAUAAAAAUUAUCACCCAACUUAGGUAUGACUGCCAACUUAUGUUAGAUACGAAUGCCACCUAUAAUUGAAUUGACUAUUUUUUAUGAAUGGCUUACCAAUAUAUUUUUAUGCACAGGGGAUUGAAGUUGCGCUCAAUCAACUUUAGAGUGCAUGCAAGCUGCAACGACAUGAGAGCAGGGCAUCCGUAAGUUUUCCAGCACGAGCAGUACAUUUCCGUUAAUUCAACUACUUAGCAGGUUACCACCGUCUUUUUGGGAAGUCAUUUGCCCGAACGGAAGCUUAGCGUCUGUCCAAACGGAAGCGCCCUUUCUGGCAAGCUUAAAACUACGUCGUUUUUGGCUCAAACAGACGCAUCCUUUCUGACAAGCCCAAAACUACGUCGUUUUUUGCCCGAACAGACGCGCCUAUUCUGUAAAGGUCCAAAAUUACGUCGUUUUGACUGAAUAUGUCAUACAUUUUCAUAAGCAUUCUAUGUCUUUUCAAGUGGUUGUGUCCUAUAAAUGGGCUAGAGCGGACAACCAUUUCGAUUAUUCCAUUUCCAAGCAAUUCAAACAUUCUAGUUUUCAUUAUUACAUGAAUUAUUCAUAGUUUAUUUGAAAGAAAAAU